rnacentral:rRNA from 1 species
UAGCGGCGAGUGAAGCGGCAAGAGCUCAGAUUUGAAAUCGUGUUUCGGCACGAGUUGUAGAGUGUAGGCGGGAGUCUCUGUGGAGCGCGGUGUCCAAGUCCCUUGGAACAGGGUGCCUGAGAGGGUGAGAGCCCCGUAGGGUGCUGCGCGAAGCUUUUGAGGCCCUGCUGACGAGUCGAGUUGUUUGGGAAUGCAGCUCCAAGCGGGUGGUAAAUUCCAUCUAAGGCUAAAUAUUGGCGAGAGACCGAUAGCGAACAAGUACUGUGAAGGAAAGAUGAAAAGCACUUUGAAAAGAGAGUGAAACAGCACGUGAAAUUGUUGAAAGGGAAGGGUAUUGGGCUCGACAUGGGGGGUGCGCACCGCUGUCUCUUGUAGGCGGCGCUCUGGGCGCCCUCUGGGCCAGCAUCGGUUCCUGCUGCGGGAGAAGGGGCUCCGGAAAGUGGCUCUUCGGAGUGUUAUAGCCGGGGCCAGAUGCCGCGUGUGGGGACCGAGGACUGCGGCUUCUGUCUCGGAUGCUGGCAUAACGGCGCAAUACCGC